CCCCGUGUAUUAGCAUAUCAAUAAGCGGAGGAAAAGAAACCAACAGGGAUUGCCCCAGUAACGGCGAGUGAAGCGGCAACAGCUCAAAUUUGAAAUCUGGCUCUCAGGGCCCGAGUUGUAAUUUGUAGAGGAUGCUUUUGGCGAGGUGCCUUCCGAGUUCCCUGGAACGGGACGCCACAGAGGGUGAGAGCCCCGUAUGGUCGGACACCGAGCCUCUGUAAAGCUCCUUCGACGAGUCGAGUAGUUUGGGAAUGCUGCUCAAAAUGGGAGGUAUAUGUCUUCUAAAGCUAAAUAUUGGCCAGAGACCGAUAGCGCACAAGUAGAGUGAUCGAAAGAUGAAAAGCACUUUGAAAAGAGGGUUAAAAAGUACGUGAAAUUGUUGAAAGGGAAGCGCCUAUGACCAGACUUGCGCCCGGUGAAUCACCCAGCGUUCUCGCUGGUGCACUUUGCCGGGCACAGGCCAGCAUCAGUUCAGCGCGGGGGAGAAAGGCUUCGGGAAUGUGGCUCCCUCGGGAGUGUUAUAGCCCGCUGCGUAAUGCCCUGCGCCGGACUGAGGUACGCGCAUUGCAAGGAUGCUGGCGUAAUGGUCAUCAGCGACCCGUCUUGAAACACGGACCAAGGAGUCGUCUUCGUAUGCGAGUGUUCGGGUGUCAAACCCCUACGCGUAAUGAAAGUGAACGUAGGUGAGAGCUUCGGCGCAUCACCGACCGAUCCUGAUGUUCUCGGAUGGAUUUGAGUAAGAGCAUACGGGGCCGGACCCGAAAGAAGGUGAACUAUGCCUGUAUAGGGUGAAGCCAGAGGAAACUCUGGUGGAGGCUCGCAGCGGUUCUGACGUGCGAAUCGAUCGUCAAAUAUGGGCAUGGGGGCGAAAGACUAAUCGAA
rnacentral:rRNA from 1 species